rnacentral:rRNA from 1 species
AUAGACGGAUUAGCGGCGGACGGGUGAGUAACACGUGAGUAACCUGCCUUUUACACAGGGAUAGCCUCGGGAAAACCGGGAUUAAAAAACCUGAUGAAACUAUCAAAAUCACAUGAUUAAGAAAGUUAAAACUCCGGUGGUAAAAGAUGGACUCGCGUCCCCAUUAGCUAGUUGGUGAAGGUAACGGCCCACCAAGGCAACGAUGGGUAGCCGGCCUGAGAGGGUGAACGGCCACAUUGGAACUGAGAAACGGUCCAAACUCCUACGGGAGGCAGCAGUGGGGAAUAUUGCACAAUGGGGGAAACCCUGAUGCAGCGACGCCGCGUGAGCGAAGAAGGCCUUCGGGUCGUAAAGCUCUUUUAUAUGGGAAGAUAAUGACGGUACCAUAAGAAAAAGCCCCGGCUAACUACGUGCCAGCAGCCGCGGUAAU